CGGAACACGUACAGAACCUUCCUUUAAGCGGGGGAUAGCCCAUAGAAAUGUGGAUUAAUACCCCAUAGUAAUGUUGAGUGGCAUCACUUAAUAUUUAAAGAUUUAUCACUUAAAGAUGGCUGUGCGGCUGAUUAGGUAGUUGGUGCGGGUAACGGCCCACCAAGCCAGCGAUCAGUAACUGGUGUGAGAGCACGACCAGUCACACGGGCACUGAGACACGGGCCCG
rnacentral:rRNA from 1 species